CCUACGGGAGGCAGCAGUGAGGAAUAUUGGUCAAUGGACGAGAGUCUGAACCAGCCAAGUAGCGUGAAGGAUGAAUGCCCUAGGGGUUGUAAACUUCUUUUAUAUGGGAAUAAAAUGUUCCACGUGUGGGAUUUUGUAUGUACCAUAUGAAUAAGGAUCGGCUAACUCAGGGCCAGCAGCCGCGGUAAUACGGAGGAUCCGAGCGUUAUCCGGAUUUAUUGGGUUUAAAGGGAGCGUAGGUGGAUUGUUAAGUAAGUUGUGAAAGUUUGCGGCUCAACCGUAAAAUUGCAGUUGAAACUGGCAGUCUUGAGUACAGUAGAGGUGGGCGGAAUUCGUGGUGUAGCGGUGAAAUGCUUAGAUAUCACGAAGAACUCCGAUUGCGAAGGCAGUUCACUGGACUGCAACUGACACUGAGGCUCGAAAGUGUGGGUAUCAAACAGGAUUAGAUACCCGAGUAGUC
rnacentral:rRNA from 1 species